rnacentral:misc_RNA from 1 species
UUGAAUUCUAAAGGUUGUGCUGGUUCUUACAAGUGCACGCCUUUAUCAAUUUCCAUACACCUGUGCACCUUUGUAGGUUCCGGGGAGCAAUCCCUGGUUCCUAUGUUUUACAUACCCUAUUAAUGUCUUUGAAUGUUUACUUGUCUUUUGACAAAAAAAUCUAUA